UUUCAAUUGCCAUGACUCUGCCAUGUAAGGAAAGAGAUUACAAAAGUGGGAGAUAACUCACCUCGGGAAAUUGAUGCUUUCUUUUCAUGUAAACACUUCUUGUAAAGAUGCCUCACGAUAGUUGAUGGGAGUCACCUCUUGCAUACUUGAGUUUAUGGGACAAAUUCUCCUCUGAGUUUCCUCCACUAUAUUGCAUUAUGAGAAUAGGAAUUAGCCUCGCUUUCUCUCUCUCUCUUUCUCUCUCUCUCAACACUGAAGUGUCCCCACAAUGGUAGUUAUGAGAACAGCACUAUUUAAUAUUUUCUUUGAUAGAACAUUUUAAAGGGAACCCUGGGUGCAUAUUGCUUGGCUUUGUUUUCUUUUCAAACCCUUAGGCAAGAAGCAUUUGCUUUAAAAUUUAGGUAAGACCAUGCUAACUGUGAAAUACAGACUAGAAAUCCCAGUCUGUCAAUUCAAAUAGAAUUCACCAAGAAAAAAAAAUACUAGAAUAUUUUAAUAUUUCUCAGGGCAUUUAAGCAAAGCACACAGACUCUAGUGGCACUUUGCAUUCCAUUCCAUUCUUGCUCAGGAGAAAUUUGAGGUCUGUGAAAUAUGUUCAGAGGCGUGAUAUGAAUCUUUGCCCAAAGAUCCUCUUAGGAAGUUGAGGAAAGAUGCAUGGGCAUGAGAAAAAAAAAAAGAAAAAAAAAAAAAAGCUUUCUCAUAUCCUACUGAUCAACUUGGUGUAAGCCCUGCCUUCUCUUAUAGCUUGCUGUGAUUAUAUUAUGCUGUCUAUAUUCUUCCUUUUCCUUAUAGUUACUUUUGGUAACUCCUAGACCUCUUGUGAGGGCAUUUUCUUUUAUGAGAAAGCUUUUCCCAACAUACUGAAAAUUUCUUUCAAUUCAUAGAACCUAUUGCUGUCCUCAGCACUCCUGUACUAUUGUGGGCUUUCUGUUUCUCAUUUCCAAUCUGUUGGUUUGGUGUGUACAUCAGACUGUGUGUGUCAUGGAGACAAUAGGCAUGCCACCGACGUCUAAUGAUGUUGAGUACUUGUUCCUAUGUAUUUUGUUUGCCUACCCAUUUUGAUGACUUUCAACUAUACAUCCCGUUUUUCAACUUGAUUACAGAAAAAAACACCCAAUCAUCAUUCCUGUAUUUGAACAAAAAUGAAUCAAAUCGUGUAGGUAAUGAAAUUGAGUAUAAGUCUCUCUCUUCUGCAUCCAACCCACAGGCAUACACAAUAACUGACUCUGGGCUCUCUGGACUUGACACAUCUAUCACAAUGAUGAACUCUCGGAGGGAACUGGUCUUAUAAAGCCACACUCAUUCUUACUGAACUGUGGUGUGUUAGCACAUCCUUGGCUCAGAAAAUGACUCUUUCUAGUUGUAUCCCACUGCUGACCCCAGGAAGCUCUGCUGAAUAUCUCUAAACACACAUUCACCCACACAGGCCUGGGUAAACUUAGUAGGUAACAAAAGAUCACUAGCAAGAACAACAUCAGUAGGCAUGAAUAUGAAAACAGGUUUGUAAAGUAGACAAGUAGAUAGGAAUAGUAGGGAGAUGGGAGAGGUUGGAAAUCUCGAGAGGUCAGAUUGCCUUAUGGACACCUAUGAAAAUGUUAAAUAAUCAACUUCAUUAAUACAAGAUUAAAAUAAGCUGAAACGAGUGUGUUUCUGAGAUUCUUAGAGCUUCUCCAUGUCUUCCGCUCAUCUUUUCAUUGUACAAAUAUUUUCACAUUAAUCUCUUCGUUAGCAAACUUUUAGAAUUAGUGGAUUCAGACAUGAGCUGUCCUGGGAAGGCUUGUGGAUGAGAAUAAUAACAAAGGCAUCACAAAAGAAAAAAUCAUCUGGGUUAUUUUUUUGUACCUAUAAAUAUGACGUGUUUUAAUAAAUUGUGAUAGGAUGUUAAUUGGCAUUUGAAAGUACAAAGUGAAAGGGCUUGAGCUGGUUAUUGCUUAUGCAGUACACUGAACUAAGGGUAUGAGUGCUGGCACCUUACGCUGACUUUGUGAGCCAUACUAUCUCAAACCAGAAAUUUAGCCUAUUUCCUGCAAAUUAUCUUUCCCUUGCGAGGUGAAAUUAAUGCUUGUACACAGGGUUGAGAACAAGCAAUUUCAAUAGAUGGUGUUUCAGAAAUGCUAAGUGUUAUUGUUACAAUUUGUUGCUUAUGUAGAACACAUCUUUACUUUCCGUGCUGGGCCAUGAUUGUUUAGGGAUGGCUAAACCUCAGACUGAAAGUUUAGCUAAUGAGAUGAGAUAUUUUCACAGCUUCUUGAAUCUGAGAACCUCAAAAUAUUCAGUCCCCAUGCAAAUCCGAAUUGGUUAGCAAACAUACAUCCAGAGACAAUGUCACCUGAUUUCAGCAGGAAUUAUGGGCAGAUGGUAGGGACAGAAGUGACUCUUCUGUUCUUUCUCUGACUACCUGGUUAGCAAGCUGGGAAGGCAAGGAGAGUCUCUAGUUUACAAAAGUUUGAACAUGCAGAAUAAGCUUAGAAGUGAAAUCCCCUUAAAUCAAGUUUAUUUUAAAAUUUAACAGAUUUUAUUUCUAUGAAAAUAGUGAAAUUUGAGUUUUUCUUUCCCAGUACUUUUACAGCACCUGCUGUCUUUAUCACUGACUGCUUUCCAUGGCACUUUCUCACACAUCCUUGGUUUCAUUACCUGUUACAUGGACAUAUAUCAUCUUUCAAAUUAUAUUUAAAAAGUCUAUGUAAUAAUGUCCUGUACCCAAAUAAAACUAUCACAUUACCUGUUUAUAUUUGACUCAUGGUGAGGUACCCAUAUACAAUGGUGAUAUAACAUGAAAGGGAAGCAGAAGCAUAAAGAUUCCAUGAAAAAAGUAUAGCUGGUUUUCCACAUCAAAUUCAAUUGAGAAUUCCCCUUCAAGCCAAAAUUUCACAUGUGUUGUCUUCUAUUACUGUGUCUCGCCCUUCACAUGAUCAUAACAUGAUUUUUC
rnacentral:lncRNA from 1 species